GCCACAUCAUGCUGAAACACUGCUUUCCAUAUGAUCACUAAAGUUAAGCAAUGUUGAAUCUGGUUAGUACCUAGAUGGGUGACUGCUUAGAAAUACCAGGUGCUACAAG